AGUGGCGGACGGGUGAGUAACGCGUGAGAAUCUGCCUUGGGGUCGGGGACAACCACUGGAAACGGUGGCUAGUACCGGAUAAGCCGAUUGGUGAAAGAUUUAUUGCCCGAAGAGGAGCUCGCGUCUGAUUAGCUAGUUGGUGAGGUAAGAGCUCACCAAGGCAGCGAUCAGUAGCUGGUCUGAGAGGACGAUCAGCCACACUGGGACUGAGACACGGCCCAGACUCCUACGGGAGGCAGCAGUGGGGAAUUUUCCGCAAUGGGCGAAAGCCUGACGGAGCAAGACCGCGUGAGGGAGGAAGGCUCUUGGGUUGUAAACCUCUUUUCUCAGGGAAGAAGCUCUGACGGUACCUGAGGAAUCAGCCUCGGCUAACUCCGUGCCAGCAGCCGCGGUAAUACGGAGGAGGCAAGCGUUAUCCGGAAUUAUUGGGCGUAAAGCGUCCGCAGGUGGCGAUUCAAGUCUGCUGUCAAAGCACGGGGCUUAACUCCGUAAAGGCAGUGGAAACUGAAUAGCUAGAGUGCCGUAGGGGUAGAGGGAAUUCCCGGUGUAGCGGUGAAAUGCGUAGAGAUCGGGAAGAACAUCGGUGGCGAAAGCGCUCUACUGGACGGCAACUGACACUCAGGGACGAAAGCUAGGGGAGCGAAUGGGAUUAGAUACCCC
rnacentral:rRNA from 1 species